GACGAACGCUGGCGGCGUGCCUAAUACAUGCAAGUAGAACGCUGAAGGAGGAGCUUGCUUCUCUGGAUGAGUUGCGAACGGGUGAGUAACGCGUAGGUAACCUGCCUGGUAGCGGGGGAUAACUAUUGGAAACGAUAGCUAAUACCGCAUAAGAGUAGAUGUUGCAUGACAUUUUCUUAAAAGGUGCAAUUGCAUCACUACCAGAUGGACCUGCGUUGUAUUAGCUAGUUGGUGGGGUAACGGCUCACCAAGGCGACGAUACAUAGCCGACCUGAGAGGGUGAUCGGCCACACUGGGACUGAGACACGGCCCAGACUCCUACGGGAGGCAGCAGUAGGGAAUCUUCGGCAAUGGACGGAAGUCUGACCGAGCAACGCCGCGUGAGUGAAGAAGGUUUUCGGAUCGUAAAGCUCUGUUGUAAGAGAAGAACGAGUGUGAGAGUGGAAAGUUCACACUGUGACGGUAUCUUACCAGAAAGGGACGGCUAACUACGUG
rnacentral:rRNA from 1 species